rnacentral:rRNA from 1 species
AUGGCAACCCUUCGAGUCGACGAAAUUCAUAAAAUUCUCCGCGAACGUAUUGAACAAUAUAAUAGGAAAGUAGGGAUUGAGAAUAUAGGUCGCGUAGUUCAAGUGGGGGAUGGGAUUGCUCGUAUUAUAGGUCUUGGUGAAAUAAUGUCAGGUGAAUUAGUCGAAUUUGCAGAAGGUACUAGGGGUAUUGCUCUGAAUUUGGAAUCCAAAAAUGUUGGGAUUGUAUUAAUGGGCGAUGGGUUGAUGAUACAAGAGGGAAGUUUUGUAAAAGCAACAGGAAGAAUUGCUCAGAUACCCGUGAGUGAGGCUUACUUGGGUCGUGUUGUAAAUGCUCUGGCUAAACCUAUUGAUGGGAAAGGCGAAAUUAUAGCUUCCGAAUCUCGCUUAAUUGAAUCUCCUGCUCCAAGUAUAAUUUCCAGGCGUUCCGUAUACAAACCUCUUCAAACAGGGCUUAUUGCUAUCGAUUCGAUGAUCCCUAUAGGGCGCGGUCAGCGAGAGUUAAUUAUUGGGGACAGACAGACUGGCAAAACAGCAGUAGCCACAAAUACAAUUCUCAAUCAAAAAGGGCAAGGUGUAAUAUGUGUUUAUGUAGCUAUCGGUCAAAGAGCAUCCUCCGUAGCUCAAGUAGUAACUGCUUUCCAUGAGGAGGGGGCCAUGGAAUACACUAUUGUAGUAGCUGAAAUGGCGGAUUCACCUGCUACAUUACAAUACCUCGCUCCUUAUACGGGAGCAGCCCUGGCUGAGUAUUUUAUGUACCGCGAACGGCAUACUUUAAUAAUUUAUGAUGAUCUCUCCAAACAGGCACAAGCUUAUCGCCAAAUGUCCCUUCUAUUAAGAAGACCUCCCGGCCGUGAGGCUUAUCCAGGGGAUGUUUUUUAUUUGCAUUCACGCCUUUUAGAAAGAGCCGCUAAAUUAAAUUCUCUUUUAGGCGAAGGAAGUAUGACCGCUUUACCAAUAGUUGAGACUCAAUCUGGAGACGUUUCCGCCUAUAUUCCUACUAAUGUAAUCUCCAUUACAGAUGGACAAAUAUUCUUAUCUGCGGAUCCAUUCAAUGCCGGAAUUCGACCCGCUAUUAAUGUGGGUAUUUCUGUUUCCAGAGUAGGAUCCGCGGCUCAAAUUAAAGCCAUGAAACAAGUAGCUGGCAAAUCAAAAUUGGAACUAGCUCAAUUCGCAGAGUUACAAGCCUUUGCACAAUUCGCCUCUGCUCUCGAUAAAACAAGUCAGAAUCAAUUGGCAAGGGGUCGACGAUUAAGGGAAUUGCUUAAACAAUCCCAGGCAAAUCCUCUCCCAGUGGAAGAGCAGAUAGCUACUAUUUAUACCGGAACAAGAGGAUAUCUUGAUUCGUUAGAAAUUGAACAGGUAAAUAAAUUUCUGGAUGAGUUACGUAAACAUCUAAAAGAUACUAAACCUCAAUUCCAAGAAAUUAUAUCUUCUAGCAAGACAUUCACCGAGCAAGCGGAAAUCCUUUUGAAGGAAGCUAUUCAGGAACAGCUGGAACGGUUUUCUCUUCAGUAA